UCUGGGAACUGGUACCGAAAAACUCAUUUUCAGCUAUGUGAUUUUAUUUUGACAUGUCAAAAUAUUUGGAAAGAAAGGGUUUUGUGUUUUUUGGAAAGUUUUUUAGUAUUUGUGUCGUCUGGAAAAGUUUCCUUGCAAUGUUUAUCGAUUGGAAAGGAUAAAUCAAGACUCCAGCUAUGGAUUUUCACCGUGAUUUGUUACAACACGAUAACACUGGCACCCCACAACAUCCAACAAAAACAACUCUAUCGUUCUCCACUUUGGGUGAAGCGUUGCCAUUUGGGGUUCAAUUAUCAUUGACAAUUGUGUUCACGACACUCUACGCUUUGUUGUUUUUAUUGAUCUGGAUACAAUUAGUACUUAUCUUGGUGUAUAAACACAAAAGACUAUCAUACCAGAGUGUAUUUUUGUAUUUAUGUCUGUUAUGGGCUGCCCUAAGGACAACAUUAUUUUCAUUUUAUUUCAACGAUAGCUGCAUGGCCAAUAAGUUAAAUCUUGGUUGGAAAUGGUUGCUAUAUUCUUUCCCCAUUGUUCUACAGUAUUUCACGCUAAGUUUGUUGGCAUUGUAUUUUUCACAGGUGAGUAUUUGGCCCAAAGCUGCUGAUAAGGGGGAGGGCUUCUUAACAUAGAAUAAUAAUA